GUGAGGAAUAUUGGUCAAUGGGCGGGAGCCUGAACCAGCCAAGUCGCGUGAAGGAAGAAGGAUCUAUGGUUCGUAAACUUCUUUUGCAGGGGAAUAAAGUGCAGGACGUGUCCUGUUUUGUAUGUACCCUGAGAAUAAGGAUCGGCUAACUCCGUGCCAGCAGCCGCGGUAAUACGGAGGAUCCGAGCGUUAUCCGGAUUUAUUGGGUUUAAAGGGUGCGUAGGUGGUUCGAUAAGUCAGCGGUGAAAGUUUGCAGCUUAACUGUAAAAAUGCCGUUGAAACUGUCGGACUUGAGUGUAAAUGAGGUAGGCGGAAUGCGUGGUGUAGCGGUGAAAUGCAUAGAUAUCACGCAGAACUCCGAUUGCGAAGGCAGCUUACUAAGCUACAACUGACACUGAAGCACGAAAGCGUGGGGAUCAAACAGGAUUAGAAACCCGAGUAGUCC
rnacentral:rRNA from 1 species